AUCAGAAGUGCGAAUGCUGACAUAAGUAACGAUAAAGCGGGUGAAAAGCCCGCUCGCCGGAAGACCAAGGGUUCCUGUCCAACGUUAAUCGGGGCAGGGUGAGUCGACCCCUAAGGCGAGGCCGAAAGGCGUAGUCGAUGGGAAACAGGUUAAUAUUCCUGUACUUGGUGUUACUGCGAAGGGGGGACGGAGAAGGCUAUGUUAGCCGGGCGACGGUUGUCCCGGUUUAAGCAUGUAGGCUGGUUAUCCAGGCAAAUCCGGAUAAUCAAGGCUGAGGUGUGAUGACGAGGCACUACGGUGCUGAAGUAACAAAUGCCCUGCUUCCAGGAAAAGCCUCUAAGCAUCAGGUAACAUCAAAUCGUACCCCAAACCGACACAGGUGGUCAGGUAGAGAAUACCAAGGCGCUUGAGAGAACUCGGGUGAAGGAACUAGGCAAAAUGGUGCCGUAACUUCGGGAGAAGG
rnacentral:rRNA from 3 species